UACGGGGGGAGCAAGCGUUGUUCGGAUUUACUGGGCGUAAAGGGCGCGUAGGCGGCCAGCGCAAGUCAGUUGUGAAAUCUCCGGGCUUAACUCGGAACGGUCAACUGAUACUGCGCGGCUAGAGUGCAGAAGGGGCAACUGGAAUUCUCGGUGUAGCGGUGAAAUGCGUAGAUAUCGAGAGGAACACCGGUGGCGAAGGCGGCCAACUGGACGAAUACUGACGCUGAGACUCGAAAGCGUGGGGAGCAAACAGG
rnacentral:rRNA from 1 species